UCCCCCCUACAUAUCUCAAUCAGAACUCAAAAUCAUGAUAAGAUUUGGAAUUUUAAGUCACCAAAUUAGAAAGCAAAGAAUGUUAGCAACGCAAAAUAGAGCCACACAGUAGAAACUUCGAAUUCAAUGUCGAACAUUAGAUAGCAAAGAAGGAGAAAACAAGCAAGGGAACUGCACAUAUAUCCAGAUUAAAUUAAAAAUUUCAGUUUACAAAACAAACUGUACAGACAUCUUUGAACUGAAGGAGACCGAG
rnacentral:misc_RNA from 1 species